AUUGAACGCUGGCGGCAUGCCUUACACAUGCAAGUCGAACGGCAGCAUGAUCUAGCUUGCUAGAUUGAUGGCGAGUGGCGAACGGGUGAGUAAUACAUCGGAACGUGCCCUGUAGUGGGGGAUAACUAGUCGAAAGAUUAGCUAAUACCGCAUACGACCUGAGGGUGAAAGUGGGGGACCGCAAGGCCUCAUGCUAUAGGAGCGGCCGAUGUCUGAUUAGCUAGUUGGUGAGGUAAAGGCUCACCAAGGCGACGAUCAGUAGCUGGUCUGAGAGGACGAUCAGCCACACUGGGACUGAGACACGGCCCAGACUCCUACGGGAGGCAGCAGUGGGGAAUUUUGGACAAUGGGCGAAAGCCUGAUCCAGCAAUGCCGCGUGUGUGAAGAAGGCCUUCGGGUUGUAAAGCACUUUUGUCCGGAAAGAAAUGGCUCUGGUUAAUACCUGGGGUCGAUGACGGUACCGGAAGAAUAAAGACCGGCUAACUACGU
rnacentral:rRNA from 1 species